GCAAGUCGAGCGGAUGAAAGAGGAGCUUGCUCCUCUCGAUUCAGCGGCGGACGGGUGAGUAACACGUGGGCAACCUGCCCUGUAGAUUGGGAUAACUCCGGGAAACCGGGGCUAAUACCGAAUAAUCCAUCGGACCUCAUGGUCCGAUGUUGAAAGACGGUUUCGGCUGUCACUACAGGAUGGGCCCGCGGCGCAUUAGCUAGUUGGUGAGGUAACGGCUCACCAAGGCCACGAUGCGUAGCCGACCUGAGAGGGUGAUCGGCCACACUGGGACUGAGACACGGCCCAGACUCCUACGGGAGGCAGCAGUAGGGAAUCUUCCACAAUGGACGAAAGUCUGAUGGAGCAACGCCGCGUGAGUGAAGAAGGUUCUCGGAUCGUAAAACUCUGUUGUGAGGGAAGAACAAGUACCGGAGUAACUGUCGGUACCUUGACGGUACCUCAUUAGAAAGCCACGGCUAACUACGUGCCAGCAGCCGCGGUAAUACGUAGGUGGCAAGCGUUGUCCGGAAUCAUUGGGCGUAAAGCGCGCGCAGGCGGUCCCUUAAGUCUGAUGUGAAAGCCCACGGCUCAACCGUGGAGGGUCAUUGGAAACUGGGGGACUUGAGUGCAGAAGAGGAAAG
rnacentral:rRNA from 1 species